rnacentral:rRNA from 1 species
AAAAUUUGAAGAGCCGCGGUAUCCUGACCGUGCAAAGGUAGCAUAAUCAUUAGUUCUUUAAUUGGGAACUUGUAUGAAUGGUUGGACAAAAGAAAAGCUGUCUACAAUAAUAAAAAUUGAAUUUAACUUUUAAGUGAAAAGGCUUAAAUAAUUUAAAGGGACGAUAAGACCCUAUAAAACAUUUUAUUGGGGCGAUAAAAGUAUAAAUAGUAACUGCUAUUUUCUUAAACAAUAAUGUUUGAAAUGAUCCUUUAUAAAGAGUAAAAAACUAAGUUACUUUAGGGAUAACAGCGUAAUUUUUUUUAAGAGUUCAUAUCGAAAAAAAAGAUUGCGACCUCGAUGUUGAAUUAAAAAAUCUUUCUAGGGCAGCACCUAAAAAAGAAGAUCUGUUCGAUCUUUAAAUUUUU